UGGCGGCACUAGCGCGGUGGUCCCACCUGACCCCAUGCCGAACUCAGAAGUGAAACGCCGUAGCGCCGAUGGUAGUG
rnacentral:rRNA from 3 species